CGUCAUACACCUGCACCCGGGAGGAAAGGCGAGGCUCUGCAUCUAGAUUUACCUCGUUCUCUUUUGUCUCCGCUUUUUUUUCACAUUUCCUUGCGACCCUGGCCCUUGAGCGACAAAAAGGGGAAGCCAAGGCUGGCCCGAGGAACGGAGAGGGCACAUGGCCUAGCCACAAGUGGAGCUUCUGCUCCGCCCGAAGGGAUGCGCUGGAGCGGCCUCUUCCUUCUGCCACGGUCUUUCUUUGCCAACUAGUAGGUGAGGGCCGAAAGGCCGCGGGCCGUGGAGCUCGGGCCGGGGAGACUCUUUUCUAGCCUCUUGGGUCCCGCUCCUCCCAAUUCCCUGGAGAGGCGUCGAGCUUGCUGGGAAGUGCCCUCGGUAGAGAUGGGGUUUCACCAGGUUAGCCAGGCUGGUCUUGAACUCCAGACCUCAAGGGAUCCGCCUGCCUCAGCUUUCCAAAGUGCUGGGAUUACAGGUGGAGACUGGACCUCAGAAGAGGGAGUGGGUGCCCCGAGAACUCACAGCUAGCGGACAGUGGAAAGGGCAGGAGCCGGACCAAGGUGAGGACAGUGGAACUGAAGGCCGCUGGUUACCUCUCCUGCCCUCCGCUGGCCACAGUGGAGAAGACAGCCCCUCCCUCCUGCUCUGACCUGACAGUGUUCAUCCAUCGCCCUGUAUUAGCGAAGAACAACAUCAAGCUGGCUAGCAAGGAACUGUAUACAGGGUCCAGCUGGGUAUCACACUGGAUCUCACCCAAAGCUUAGAUGUGAUCCAGCUCAGUAUCACAAAGCAGAACGAAAAGGAUGUGUUUGGGCUGAGAGGCCAUACAUUGGCUCCGGCAUGACGGGUGACUUCUUCCGAGUCUGGCUUCUGCAGCACACAGGGCUUCGCCAGCACCCAGCUCCUGCAGCAUGGGCAGCUCCUGUGACAGCAGGCGCCCGCAGCCUGCAAAGCGUCUCCAGUGCCGCCGCCUCAGUGAACCUCAACCAGCGGCACCUAGCAGCUUUCUCUGCCACCCUCUUCAGGUAGUUCUGUAGCAGCGCGUUUCUCAUGAGACACUUCCCUGUGAGCAGCUUUUUCUACCCUUGAGGAUGGAUUUCCAGCAAAUUCUGCCCAUGUGGUACCACAGCCACUUCUCUGCCAUUCAGUGAAACUGCCGUUGUGCCCUCUUCAAGGUCUGGAUCUAAGCCCAGGGACCAGGAAACCUCUUGCUUGAGUGCUGGAACUCAGGCCAGAAGGCAGGAAGCCCGCCUGACCCCAUGUCUCAGGCUGCCAGAGGAGCGUGCGAUGAGGAAGGCUGGACUGUCUUCACAGGACACCAGGGAGAAGCCUCAAGCCACUGCCCCCUGACAAGUCGCAGCUCUCCAGCCUGUCUCCUCACUCCCCUCCCCUCCACAUGGGGGGGUUGGGGUGGGGGCGGGGAAGGUUCGGGGCAGGGGUCAUUUCAGCUACUGGGCACCAGUCUCCUCCUCAUGUUUAUCCUGUUCCCUUUGCUUGAAAGGUUCGUACUCCAGAUCCUUGUAAAACCGCUUCUCACCCUUUGAGUCUCAGCUUAAAUGUCCCCUCCUUGGAGGGGUCUUCCCUGACAAUGAAGCUCCGACCGUCCUCUCCUGUUUUACCCAGUUCAUUUCUUUCUGGCAUUUGUAACUACUUGAAGUUAAAGUGUGUGCCAUGU
rnacentral:lncRNA from 1 species